rnacentral:lncRNA from 1 species
CGGAGACUUCAGGAGACAACUGUGCAUGGUGAGAAUCAACUGCAUUAGCUCUUUCUUUUUCUCCCAUCCCCUCCACUUCCUUCCCUUGGCAGUGCCUGCAGCUGCGGGGCUCUUUACCCGGGGUUCUGGCCCUUUGUGAGCCCGUAUCUAUCGGGUUACUGAAGCGUCUCACUACCUGCACAGUACAUGGAGCAUGAGAGGCAUCUCAGUAAUUCCCGGCACCCCGUCAUCCUCCUCCCUGUCCCCACUGGGGAGUGGCAACCCAAUACCUCUCAAAAGUGGGAUCAACCAACCAAAGCUUUAGAGCACCCCAUCUGGGAUUUAGGAUCAGUGGCCCGUGGAACUCAAGAAUGUCAGGUGGGGAAUCUUGCUUCCAGAGGGAUGAAACUAUGGCGCUGAAAUGAGAACACGACGCUCAGCCACGGGUUUGAGGUUGUGUGGUCUCUGCUCUCAGGUAUGUGUAUUAUCCUGGAGAGCCAAUCCCAACAUUAGGGUGUUGCCCCUCAGCGGACAGGACUGCUCCUCUCCCUCCAGGGCCCUGUGGGGUGCGUGGGAAGGUGUGAUGCCCGUCACUGUAGGUGUGCAUUUGUACAGAGAACGGGUCCCGUGCACAGGACACCACAGCCCUGCACAAGGCCUGCCUGCAGUCUGAAAGCUUUUCAGUCCAGGAAGGUGCUGUGGUUUGGACAUGGUUUCAGUGUCCCCGAGGCUUCUUGUGUUGAAAUUUAAUCCCCACUGGGAGAUUUUGAAUGGGUGGGAACUUAAUUCAACUGUGCUGUUUUGAGGUGGGCCUUUGGGAGACGAUUAGGGUUACAUAAGAUCAUUAGGGUGGAGCCCAUGACUAAAUCCUAGUGGCUUUAUAGGAAAAGGAAAAGAGACAGGAGAGAUAUAUGUGCACACUUCCUGUGCCACCUCAGGACACUGCCUCAAGAAGACCAUCACGAGAGGCUGGCCCUCAACCUUGUGCCUCUAGAACUGUGAGCCCUGAUAAACCUUCUUUCUUUCUUUUCUUUCUUUUUUUAGUUGUAGAUGGACACAAUACCUUUAUUGUAAUUUUUUAAUGUGGUACUGAGGAUCGAACCCAGUGCCUCACAUGUGCUAGGCAAGUGCUCUACCACUGAGCCACAACCUCAGCCCUAAAUAUCCUUUCUUCACAACUCACCAAGUCCCUGUUAUUGUGUCAUUAGCAACAGAAAAUGAACUAUAAAGGUAAAUCCUAAAAGGAUGCCUGCAGCCACAGAUGAACCAGCACGGGUGUGAGCAGACGAGUCCCAGGGAGUCAGCUUGCCACUAGCUCUGGCAGCUGCCCACCCUGGCCACCAGGGUUCAAAACCCACGAACACUGCAGAGCUUGAGCCACUGCCUGCGAAUCAGGGUGAAUCCCAGCCCUGGCCAUGUCCCCCAGGCAAAGGGAACCAACAGGCACCCUCCCCAGAGUUCUGCCUUUGGGGCGUCUCCUUCACCUCUCACUCUCAGGGCUGACUGGCUCAGGCUAUGAUGAGGUGGCAGUCUCGCUGAGCUCAGUGGAGUCGGCCUCCGCUGCACCCAUAGGUUUCUCAUUGAACCAACAGGUGAGAGCCAUCGCAUGCUGCUUCAUCUGGCACUAAAUCUUGAGUCUCCCAUGAGUGUGUCCAGACCAUGUGUGGUCCACUCCAAAGCUACCUGGCAUCCUACUCAGUAUAAGACCCAGAGGAUCUCUUCCAGAAUAGAUAGCCUGGGGUGAAAAAUCAGCAGACUUGUCGGUGGAAGAACCUGCCUGCUGGGGAGGGAAACCUUGAAAUCCUCCCUCCCAGAGGGAUUGGGGCAGAGUGUUGGGUUCUCAGCUCCACAGGCUCCUCAGAUGUCUCUUCCCAUCUCCUGUCCACCUCGUCCCCCCUGACGCCAGUCCUAAGGGUAUAAGAAUGUUGUUGUUGAUGUAACCACACUACACACCCACCAGAUGCCCAUCAAUGCCUGCCUGGUGCUUCUAGUGAUCCAUGACAGUUUUAAGACUAAUAUCUGGAAACAUUUGUGCCUUGAACCAGGAGUUGUGCAGCUCUGAAUCACCACUGUUUUUCUGAAACGCUCCAGGAUAAUAAGAUAUCCCGUCAUCCUGUGACCAUCAUGGCUGGAACAUCAGUCAAAGGCCGCCUGUAUUUGGUCUCCCAAAGCCUUGACCCUGGCCAGCCCUUCAGCCCAGGCAAGUCAGUGAUGAUGUGGCAAUCGUGAUGCAACUCUGUGCAAGUUUCCAGGACCCCUCCUCCAUCUGCAAGAACACUAUCUCUUGUGCUCAAACAGGUGGGCAGCCUAGACAAGAGCCUUAUUACUCAACAUCCAACUUGAGAAACACGGAUCAUUCCAGCAUUUAAAACAGAAGGAAUCUAAGUUAGGAUUUGGUUACGCAGGUGACAGAAGAGCAGAGAAACCAAACCAAAGAUUCAGCCAGAGAUUAAUGACAAAACACCAUUCCUGGGUGGAGGGAAGGGCUUCUGGAGCACAGGGUGCAGGGUCACCUGGUGGAGGUGGGGACCACAGCAGGACUAGCAGACAGAAGUUCAGACCACAGACAUGAUGCCACAACUAACUGGGACACGGAGCCAAAUGCAGAGAGGAAAAACACUGGCUUUCCCUCCCUCUCUGUCCUGUCGCCUAUUGUUGUCCCAUUGGACAAAUCAGCUGCUCUGAGAGUUUGUGACAUGCAGCCUGAAAGGGUUACCCCCAAAGGAUGCAGAGUUGAGUAGGGGACACGGGAGGAAGAUCUGAUGGAUGGCAGGGUGCCAAGGACCAACACCAAGGUGGCAGGAGCAGGGUGGCUGCAGGCAAUACCCCUGCAGCAUUUAUACCCCAAACACUUAGCAAUGUUGGGUGCAGGCCCUUGCGGGAAGGUUUGAACAACAACCCAGCAACUCGGGAGGUUGAGGCAGGAGGAUCCCAAGUUCAAGGUCAGCCUCAGCUUAGACUCUUAUGACUUGUGAUCAGAACGAUGAUAUGUGAAUAAAUCAAAGGCAAGAAAAAUAUAAUGUGAGAGAAAUCAAACAAGCCAAUAUCUAUGUUGGAUAGAGUUUGUCAUUCCCAGUGUGGUGUUCUGGACACAGCGGAUCCCUUUAGUAUGCAAAAUAGGUGAGGUGGACACUGCUUAAAGUUGAAACGGCCUGGGGGGGUCUCACCAUCCACCUCAUGUCCACAGGGUGCUGCAGGUAUACUGUGACCCCAGGAAGGCCCUGGGGCUUUAAAAGUUUC